GAAUUAGUUUCUUAAAAACAAGGUCAUAGCAUUCUAAUUAACUUUGAAAGUUUAUAUGCAUCAGAAAACUUAUACAAAUAUAAAUGAAAAAAUUUCAUCCAUUCUUUUUCCAGUUUUAAUGGGAUAUUUACACUAUUGUGAUUGAUGCUUAUGUGAAUUGAACUCUUGUUGACUGAUUCUUUUUCCCUUAAUCCUGACUUUAAGGGGAUAGGUGAAGUUAUCAAGUUAAGUGAAGUUAUAUAUUGUGAAGUCAUACAUGGCUUUUGGACAGUACUAUAUUUCAGUUGCAUUACAUUUCAUUUCAUAAAAUGCAUUUGAUAAAAUUUUCAAACAACUGUGGGAAAUGACUGAUCGAGUGCCUGACAAUUUAAGCCACAUGUAAAGUAUGCAAGUAAAAAUCUCUGCAGUUUAUCUCAAUAUAUGAAUAAAAAGAAGGUCUGUU